rnacentral:rRNA from 1 species
GAUGAACGCUAGCUACAGGCUUAACACAUGCAAGUCGAACGAGAAUCUACUGAAAGAGUUUUCGGACAAUGGAAGUAGAGGAAAGUGGCGGACGGGUGAGUAACGCGUGAGGAACCUGCCUUGAAGAGGGGGACAACAGUUGGAAACGACUGCUAAUACCGCAUGAUGCAUAGGGGUCGCAUGAUUCUUAUGCCAAAGAUUUAUCGCUUCAAGAUGGCCUCGCGUCCGAUUAGCUAGUUGGCGGGGUAACGGCCCACCAAGGCGACGAUCAGUAGCCGGACUGAGAGGUUGAACGGCCACAUUGGGACUGAGAUACGGCCCAGACUCCUACGGGAGGCAGCAGUGGGGAAUAUUGGGCAAUGGGCGCAAGCCUGACCCAGCAACGCCGCGUGAAGGAAGAAGGCUUUCGGAUUGUAAACUCCUGUUGUUGAGGAAGAUAAUGACGGUACGUCAACAAGGAAGUGACGGC